rnacentral:rRNA from 1 species
CAGUAGCCGCGGGAAUACGUAGGUCCCGAGCGUUGUCCGGAUUUAUUGGGCGUAAAGGGAGCGCAGGCGGUUUAGUAAGUCUGAAGUUAAAGGCAUUGGCUCAACCAAUGUAUGCUUUGGAAACUGUUAGACUUGAGUGCAGAAGGGGAGAGUGGAAUUCCAUGUGUAGCGGUGAAAUGCGUAGAGAUGUGGAGGAACACCAGUGGCGAAGGCGACUCUCUGGUCUGUAACUGACGCUGAGGAGCGAAAGCGUGGGGAGCGAACAGGAUUAGAUACCCCAGUAGUCCCUGUCUCUUAUACA